AUUUAGAGGAAGGAGAAGUCGUAACAAGGUUUCCGUAGGUGAACCUGCGGAAGGAUCAUUGUCGAAUCCUGCCAAGCAGAACCACUUGUGGACAUGUUAAACCCAUCAUGGGAAUGAGGAUUCAUUAGUCCUCUCUCCCUCAUGUCGAGUAGUUUUUGCUUCUCGACGCGAACAACUAAACCGGCGUGAUUUGCGCCAAGGAAAUAUUACCAAGGAGUGUGCUUUGAGACCAUCAGUUUUGGUGAGCUCUUGAAGUGAUACUUUUUAUUAAUCAUAACGACUCUCGGCAACGGAUAUCUUGGCUCUCGUAUCGAUGAAGAACGCAGCAAAAUGCGAUACGUGGUGUGAAUUGCAGAAUCCCGUGAAUCAUCGAGUUUUUGAACGCAAGUUGCGCCUAAGGCCACUAGGCUGAGGGCACGUCUGCCUGGGCGUCACACAUUGUGUCAACCCCAACUUGAUGGGGGUGGAAGUUGGCUUCCCAUGUAUUUGAUGCAUGGUUAGCUGGAAAUAAAGUCCAUGCAGUUGACAUGCAAUUGGUGGUUAGAUUCUCUUGAAUACUGUUUGCGUGUUGGUCUGCAUUGAGAUUGAUGACCCUUUGGCUCUUCUCAAAUUUGUAGAUUAAGCCUACCAUUGCGACCCCAGGUCAGGCGGGGCUACCCGCUGAGUUUA
rnacentral:rRNA from 2 species